AGAGUUUGAUCCUGGCUCAGGACGAACGCUGGCGGCGUGCUUAACACAUGCAAGUCGAACGGAAAGGCCCUUCGGGGUACUCGAGUGGCGAACGGGUGAGUAACACGUGGGUGAUCUGCCCUGCACUUUGGGAUAAGCCUGGGAAACUGGGUCUAAUACCGAAUAGGACCACGCGCUUCAUGGUGUGUGGUGGAAAGCUUUUGCGGUGUGGGAUGGGCCCGCGGCCUAUCAGCUUGUUGGUGGGGUAAUGGCCUACCAAGGCGACGACGGGUAGCCGGCCUGAGAGGGUGACCGGCCACACUGGGACUGAGAUACGGCCCAGACUCCUACGGGAGGCAGCAGUGGGGAAUAUUGCACAAUGGGCGCAAGCCUGAUGCAGCGACGCCGCGUGAGGGAUGACGGCCUUCGGGUUGUAAACCUCUUUCAAUAGGGACGAAGCGCAAGUGACGGUACCUAUAGAAGAAGCACCGGCCAACUACGUGCCAGCAGCCGCGGUAAUACGUAGGAUGCGAGCGUUGUCCGGAAUUACUGGGCGUAAAGAGCUCGUAGGUGGUUUGUCGCGUUGUUCGUGAAAACUCACAGCUUAACUGUGGGCGUGCGGGCGAUACGGGCAGACUAGAGUACUGCAGGGGAGACUGGAAUUCCUGGUGUAGCGGUGGAAUGCGCAGAUAUCAGGAGGAACACCGGUGGCGAAGGCGGGUCUCUGGGCAGUAACUGACGCUGAGGAGCGAAAGCGUGGGGAGCGAACAGGAUUAGAUACCCUGGUAGUCCAA
rnacentral:rRNA from 1 species